UACGAAGGGGGCUAGCGUUGCUCGGAAUCACUGGGCGUAAAGGGUGCGUAGGCGGCUUUAUAAGUCGGGGGUGAAAGCCUGUGGCUCAACCACAGAAUUGCCUUCGAUACUGUAGAGCUUGAGACCGGAAGAGGUAAGUGGAACUGCGAGUGUAGAGGUGAAAUUAGUAGAUAUUCGACAAGAACACCAGUGGACGGAAGGCGGCUUACUGGUCCGGUUCUGACGCUGAGGCGCGAAAGCGUGGGGAGCAAACAGG
rnacentral:rRNA from 1 species